CAUCAUGCCCCAGGCGGUGGGGCAGGGAAGGUCUUGUUAAGCAGUCAGACUGACAGACGACGAAGGGCUUCUGACACUGACCCGACCGAGGCGAGCUUUGGCUACAGCAAGGCCCUCCCACUUUCAGAGUCUCAGGCGCCCAAGGACGUGCGGUCCACACCAGGGGGCUCGCCGGUGACCUCGUUUCUGAGAGCAGGAGAGGAGGAACCGAGUAACCGAAGUCAGCCUCGGCCUGCGCUCUGCCUCCCUGUGACCUGAGCCCCGGGCUUCAGCCCUCACGGGCGGCGCCUGGGCGCAAACCCCAGGUCCUCCUCACCUGAGCGCUGCCCUGCGGUCAGGUUACUUAGUCGCUCUGUGGCCCCAAAGCAUGCCAGAGGAGUAAGGCUGGCAAUUCCGAGAGGCCAAAGAGAAGCCGCAAAGCGCCUCCUUUAAGGGAAAAGGUGAAGGUCCUCAGCAGCAAUGUGGAUAGACCUGGAGACCCUGCUCAGUGAACGACAGCACAAUGACCUCCCGGCACCCGGGGCGAGUGCCUGGGGCAAGCUGUACACGUCUCCAAGGUGGAAGCUCAGCUGUAGGAAAGUCUGAUGUUCUUUUGUGGUGAGUCAGGUUCCCUGAAAUACAGACGCCCCUCCAAUAAGCCGCCGACGGCGGAGGCCACCGGCAACUCGCGUCCGUCGCCCACUCCCCAGCCCUAGCAGGCUGGACGGACCGAACAUUUAUCUGGACGAGAUGGUCCACAGACAAAGCCUGGAGAAGGAGCUGCUCUCUGGGCUAAUGAACGAACAACACCGCAGAGGCAGCUGAAGGGUCCCUAAAAGCCAGGGAAGAGAAAUGCUCCAGCCAAGGGGUGCUCAUGUAUUUAUGCUCUGGGCCCUUGAGUGUAGGAUGGGGACCACGCGCUGCCCCUCCGCUCAAGGCCCACAAGGCCUCCACUCUGUGUUCCAGAUGACUCUGGGGACAGCAGGAAGGAGAAGGAGAGAAAGCGUGCUUCCCUUCAGGGCCUCCUGUGCGCCCGAGUGCGUCACAGGUUGUCAGGAGAGAGAUCAGGGAGGUGGCGUUAGUCCCGGCAUCGGUGUGAAGCAGGGUUUGACUCCAAAGUCAGGAUUGUCUCUGCUCUUCCCUGCUAGUCAGAAAGACAAGCUAGAAAGAGCCGAGAGUAAGGGAUGGGAGAAACAGCGGCGAACACGGGCCUCUGAACAUGGGCCUUUACGGCCUGCAGGCGGGCGGAGGCUAUGGGGAGGGCGGGGAGGGGAAAGAGUUUGGACCAAAAGAGGCAGAAGACCCAGCUCAGUCCCGGGCCUUCCCCGAGAACCCCGAGGAAACAGAACCUAAACCAGGACGACAAAGAACUGACACAGUUGUCGGGGUGGAGCUUAGGCUGCGGGGAUUAUCUUUUUGGUAUUAAAAGAAGCUGAUAAAUUUCCACCCCCUUCCCCCCGUGAGGAUUAUUACAAAAGCCAUUGGUAAGACCUGCUAUUUUACAGAAAAGCAGGCUUUUGAACAUGUUAGGCUAAAUCUCCUGAGUGUGUGACUAGGGCUUCUGUUGGAAUGACAUUCUUUAUUCAUUCAGGAAGCAUUUACUAAACACUUGCUAAGAAUAGUGCACCACAUGGGGGGGUGGGAGGGGGACGCCAGAAAAACUCCAAACCGUGCCUCCAAGGUCUUUGCAAGAGGGGAAGAGAGGAGCACAGAGCAAGCACCACUGAAUACACAAGUCAGGAGAGCAGACCUGGGGCCUCUGAGAAGAUGAGGAGGGAGGCGUGGGGCUUCCUGUGGGAGGUGGACCUGGGAAGGGCUGGGAUGGAGCUGGGAGUCCCCGGCUGAGAACAAGAUGUCCUGUUCCCAGGUCAGGUGGGGCCGGGCCACUAGAGUCUUACGUGACAGCUGAGCGGUGAGGCUUUAUCGGGAAGCAGUGGGGAGAGGCUGACAACCUCAGUGUCCCUCCACAGAGAAAGCCCCAGGUACCUGCCAGGGUGUCUGACCCCACUGCAGCACGCAGGUGAGAGGAAUUAGGCUGAGGGAUGACAAAGAGCACUGCCACUUGCAUUGCUUUUCCUUGUUUCAGAAUAAAAAUCCUUUUUAGGAAAUCCAGUGCCCGGUCUCUUCAGAGUCCAGGUCAUUUGGAAUUAGAGGAGCUGGAUUUAGCAAAAAGAAACAGGAUGCCAGUUAACUCCAAACUUCAGGUAGACGGUGAACACUUGUUUAGUGGAAGUGUAUCCCAAGUAUUCACCAGAAGAUUCUGAGUUUUGUCUGGAAUCCCUGCAUGGAAGGAGCAGGGAGGAACCAGGCAUCGUUCUAGGACUCAUGGAACUAGCUGCCUAUGAACAAGGGCACCGAGCACAGAGAGGCCAUCAGGGCCAGGGUGGGCACACAGCAGCUGUGGGCCUGAAAAUGAUUUUAUGCUCUUUCUCAUACCCAUCACGUUUAGAGGGACCAGAAGCUUUCUACUUGAAGGACUGGAAUACACUGUCAGAGCAAAGAAUGUUUCUGUAAUGGCAAGAAGCAAUUAUCUGACAAAUGUUAUGCAUCUGAUUUAAAUCCAGUUAUUUGUAUACGUCAUUUUCUAAAGGGAGAAACACACAGAAGGAAGGCUUUCUGAAGCGUCAGGAUGCAAAGCCCUGGAGGAGGUUCCAGGUAGUUGUUGGAAAGUCCUGGCAGCCCCCGCCUGGAAGCUCUGGGGGAAUCCUGGGUGCAGAAGGACAGAGCGCACUUUCCUCUCCAGCCCAAACAUUCUGAGGAGGGAGGCGGAAGCAGCGUCUUCUGACCCCGAAGCAUCAGGGUUAGAGCAGCGCUUACUGCUGACUUCAGGCCGCAGCACUGAGACGGAAAAUCGCAGACUGAAGAAUUACCUUUCUCUUGCUCGUGGAUAAAGCAGCUCUCUUCCUAAAGCCGAGAACCAUUACGGAAUGAACGUGCACAAUGGAGACAAUCCAGGAAACACUGUGUGGCCCUAAUAAUUCUGACCGCUUUGUGCCACGUUUUGCAGUGGCCUCAAUUAAACGGUAGAGAAUCCAUGUGACACGGCGCUCCUGAGAACAAGACGGAAGCUCUGCCGAGGACCUGUAUUCCCCGGGGGAAACCUUGGGGCGCUCUCUUCUAGAAGCUAAGAUCAGAAGGACACUUGGGUUCUGAACUAAGAACUGUUACCUGGGUUUCAGUGUUUCAGGUGACACAGUAGCCAGUAACAGGGCUCAGAGAAACCAGAGGAUCUGGAUUAGACAAGAACACUCAUUUACUAAGAUGUAAUCUACACAAUUAGAACCCUGUCAAUAUCGCAAACUGGAAAUCCAGCAAAAUUUAAAAUUUCUCAUGAGAUGUUAUGUUUUCUAGUGAAUAGCCUUGCUCAGUCACACUUGACAAAGUGAUAUGCAUCCGGACACGAUCCCAGAGGAGUAUUUUUAAAUUAAGAAAUUUUAAGAGAAAACCAGGUAAUCCUAAUGAAA